rnacentral:rRNA from 1 species
UACGUAGGGUGCAAGCGUUGUCCGGAAUUAUUGGGCGUAAAGAGCUCGUAGGCGGUUUGUCGCGUCUGCUGUGAAAACUCAGGGCUUAACCCUGAGCCUGCAGUGGGUACGGGCAGACUAGAGUGUGGUAGGGGAGAUCGGAAUUCCUGGUGUAGCGGUGGAAUGCGCAGAUAUCAGGAGGAACACCGGUGGCGAAGGCGGGACUCUGGGCCGAUACUGACGCUGAGGAGCGAAAGCGUGGGGAGCAAACAGG